rnacentral:lncRNA from 1 species
UCUUGAAUAGAUCGAUCAGAAAGAAUAACUUUAUGGUGGUUUCGUACCCGACAAUAAUCUCUUCGUUUGUUCUCCGCUAUUAGUGACUUUGGAGUGACUCUUUGUUGCAUUUUGAGGGCUAGUUAUAUGAUCCAAUUAUGUUAUCUUUGUUGAGAGAACUUCACUAGUGAAAGUAUGAACCCUAGGCCUUGUUUCCACGCAUUGCAAUACCGUUCGUGCUCAGUUUUACCAUUUGUUACCUUGCUGUUUUUGUAAUUUCAGAUUACAAAAACCUAUAUCUACCAUCCAU